CUGCCGCACCGUUCGAAACCGAGGCGGUCGGUGCAGCGGAGUCAAGAUGGCGGCGGCGGUGGCGGCGGCGGCGGCGGCAGCUGCGGCGGCCGCGUCCCUCCAGGUGCUGGAGAUGGAGAGCAUGGAGACCGCGGCCCCAGGGUCCGCGGGCCUGGCCGCUGAGGUGCGAGGCAGCGGCACGGUGGACUUCGGGCCCGGGCUCUCUGUCAUGGAGGCGAGCGGGGGCGACCCUGGCCCUGAGGCCGAGGACUUCGAGUGCAGCUCCCACUGCUCGGAGCUGUCCUGGCGGCAGAACGAGCAGCGCCGCCAGGGCCUGUUCUGCGACAUCACCCUGUGCUUUGGCGGGGCUGGAGGUCGCGAGUUCCGGGCCCACCGCUCGGUGCUGGCCGCCGCCACCGAGUACUUUACGCCCUUGCUCUCGGGCCAGUUUUCCGAGUCGCGCUCGGGCCGGGUGGAGAUGCGCAAGUGGAGCUCGGAGCCGGGGCCCGAACCCGACACGGUGGAAGCCGUUAUCGAGUACAUGUACACCGGGCGCAUCCGAGUGAGCACCGGCAGCGUGCACGAGGUCCUGGAGCUGGCCGACAGAUUCCUGUUAAUUCGUUUAAAAGAAUUUUGUGGAGAAUUUCUCAAGAAAAAGCUUCAUCUCUCAAAUUGUGUGGCCAUCCAUAGCUUAGCGCACAUGUACACCCUGAGCCAGCUUGCUCUGAAAGCUGCUGAUAUGAUACGGAGAAAUUUUCAUAAAGUCAUUCAGGAUGAAGAGUUCUAUACUUUACCUUUCCAUCUCAUUCGAGACUGGCUUUCGGACUUAGAAAUUACAGUCGAUUCUGAAGAGGUUCUCUUUGAAACGGUUUUGAAGUGGGUUCAGAGAAAUGCUGAAGAGAGAGAGAGAUAUUUUGAGGAACUUUUUAAAUUGCUCAGGUUGUCCCAGAUGAAACCUACCUACCUUACUCGACACGUCAAACCAGAGAGACUGGUGGCCAAUAAUGAAGUUUGUGUCAAGCUGGUGGCCGACGCAGUGGAGAGGCAUGCGCUCAGAGCAGAGAAUCUGCAGUCUGGUGCACUCCAGCAUCCCACUUCUCAUGUCUCACUGUUACCUCGCUAUGGGCAAAACAUGGAUGUGAUCAUGGUUAUUGGAGGUGUCUCAGAGGGAGGAGACUACUUAAGUGAAUGUGUGGGAUAUUUUGUUGAUGAGGACAGAUGGGUAAAUCUGCCCCACAUUCAUAAUCAUCUCGAUGGACAUGCUGUUGCAGUAACAGAAUCUUACGUAUAUGUAGCUGGGUCGAUGGAACCAGGCUUUGCUAAAACUGUGGAAAGGUACAACCCAAAUAUGAAUACAUGGGAACAUGUUUGUAGUCUGAUGACAAGAAAGCAUUCUUUUGGGCUAACAGAAGUCAAAGGGAAGCUGUAUAGCAUUGGAGGACAUGGCAAUUUUAGUCCUGGUUUUAAAGAUGUGACUGUUUACAAUCCUGAGCUCGAUAAAUGGCACAACUUGGAGUCAGCACCAAAGAUUCUUCGAGAUGUCAAAGCACUAGCCAUUGAAGACCGGUUUGUGUACAUUGCCGCCCGCACCCCUGUGGACCGGGACACUGAGGAUGGGUUGAAGGCUGUCAUUACAUGCUAUGAUACAGAGACUCGACAGUGGCAAGAUGUGGAAUCUUUGCCACUUAUUGACAAUUACUGUUUUUUUCAAAUGUCUGUGGUCCAUUCAAACUUCUAUCAGACAGCGUCAUGCUGUCCCAAGAGUUAUUCUUUAGAGAAUGAAGAAGCAGUAAGAAAAAUUGCCAGCCAGGUGUCUGAUGAGAUCCUUGAAAGCUUGCCUCCAGAAGUCCUAAGCAUCGAAGGAGCAGCUAUCUGCUAUUACAAAGAUGACGUCUUUAUUAUCGGAGGCUGGAAAAACAGUGAUGAUAUUGACAAACAGUAUCGGAAGGAAGCCUACCGAUACUGUGCUGAGAGAAAGCGGUGGAUGCUCCUUCCUCCCAUGCCCCAGCCUCGUUGUAGAGCCACUGCCUGUCACGUCAGGAUCCCAUACCGGUAUUUGCAUGGCACACAGAGAUACCCUAUGCCUCAAAACUUAAUGUGGCAGAAGGACCGCAUCAGACAGAUGCAAGAAAUCCACCGGCAUGCCCUGAACAUGCGGCGUGUGCCGAGCUCCCAGAUUGAAUGCUGAGCUCUCCAGCGUGUGCAGCUCCACACUGCUGUCCCUGGUGUGUGAGGCUGAAGAUCCUUGGACUGUUACUUGGAAAAUAGGUCUUGACUUACAUACAGACCCUGAGGGUUAAGCGCCAAAGGCCCAAGGAUCAAGUUCAGCAGCAGCUGCCUCUGCCUCUUCUGCUGUGUUUUACCAGCUUCCUCUGAUUUUGUUUAGCUUCUGUGACAACAAAGUUGUAAGUCCACAUUCUAAUUUUUUUCUACUUUUCUUUCAUUAGAAUUUCCUUCAACUGUUAGAGAGUUUAUAUUCAAGAUUUGUUAAUUCUCAGUUCCCUUGGAUACAUCAUUAAUUUCUUAGUUUUUUGUUCUGUUUUGCUUUUGCUUUUUUUGAGGCAGGAUCUCAUUGUGCAGUCCGUUGGCCUGGAAUUCCCUCUGUAGACCAAGUUGGCCCUGAACACAGAGAUCUGUCCACCUACCUCUGCCUCCACAGUGCUGGGAUUAAAGGUGUGCACCUCCACACGGGCUGUAUUUCUCCACUUGCUGGUUUUGUUGAAUAUUGUGUGCAGGUGUGGGAGAGAACUCCAAGUCUUCCAGACCUUGUAUAGGUUGUCAUACUGCUUUUGCACUGUUUUUAUUGACAGUAUGUUACUGCUCAGUGCAUUGAAAUUUUAUGUUGGAUGUAGAUGUUUGGAAUAUACUUUCCUCCUUUUCUUUUAAGAGUCAGGAUCAUUCUUGUGCUUUGUUCUGAGGCUGUGCAGUUCCUUCCUGCUCUUUUAGCUUAGCUUUUAUCUUGACUCUCGAACUUUAGCUUUUGUAAGUGAUCGUGUGUCUUAGUAGAACUUUGUACAGCUUCUCUUUGUGUAUUUUGCAACUCUUUCAAGUUUUAUUUGAUUUCAUUUAAUUCUGUAUGUGGUAUCCUCAAAAAGGUAUGUUAGAUUCACAUUAGUCUCUUUGUUUAAAGCUCUUUUCCUGGUAAUUGUGUCUUAAUUUUUUCAUUAGCUGGCCUGGGACCAGGCUGGGCUCCAUCUCACAGAGAUCUGCCUGCCUCUGCCUCCCGAGUGCUGGGAUUAAAGGCGUGCACCACCACGGCCGGCUCUUUUUUGUUUCUUGGAAACCUCAUAUUGCAGAGUUAUUCCCGUUCCACUUCUUAGGAUCUAACAUGAUUGUGGGUUCUCUCCCUUUCCUUGUGGGUCGUUGGCCACAGGUCCACGAGGACAAAGGGAGCAGAAGCAACGAACGGGGUCAGGACGGCCAGUGAGCACUGACGGAAGAAAGCCCU